UGAAUGCUUAAAGGAUUAUGUCAUGAGAUCAGCUCACAAGAAAUGGAAAGACUUCAAAAGUAGGCUGAAAGCUAAGUAUUUUGACCCUGAGAAGACUAAUAAAGAACUUUGGAAAAAAACAUGAUUCAAGAAUAUCACUAAAAGUCUGGAAGUGGCUUGUUUGUUUUUGGAGAAGUGAGAAAGGCAAAGCCCGCAGCAAUCGUGGAAAAGCAAAUCGUGCAAAAAUGGUUGCAGUACACACCAUUGGAACUAGGAGCUUAGCAAAUGUUCGUCAUGAUAUGG